GGGGGUAUAGCUCAGCUGGGAGAGCGCUUGAAUGGCAUUCAAGAGGUCAGGGGUUCGAGCCCCCUUAUCUCCA
rnacentral:tRNA from 1 species